rnacentral:ncRNA from 2 species
UAAAUGGCCGGUCUCCGAGCCUGACCACCUUAGAGGAUUUUUCCUGAUGGUGACAGGCCGACGGGUUUUACUGGAAACGGUGAGGCCUCCCUUUUGGAAAGGAGAUUGAUGAAGUGUGUA